GGUAGCUUUACGGGGCCCAUGAUACACAAGGAGCUGUCGGCAUCCUAGCCCGUGUGGGGCAGACACGUGCACACCAGCCGGGGGCAGCAUCGCAACGCA